rnacentral:rRNA from 1 species
UACGGAGGGUGCGAGCGUUGUCCGGAAUCAUUGGGCGUAAAGGGCGCGUAGGUGGCCCGGUCAGUUCGUGGUGAAAGCGCGGGGCUCAACCCUGCGUCGGCCAUGAAUACUGCCGCGGCUGGAGCACUGUAGAGGCAGGCGGAAUUCCUGGUGUAGCGGUGAAAUGCGCAGAUAUCAGGAGGAACACCAGCAGCGAAGGCGGCGCUCUGGGCUGGAACUGACGCUGAGGAGCGAAAGCGUGGGUAGCAAACAGG